rnacentral:tRNA from 1 species
GGACUUCGAGUGAUUUGCAACAAUGUCACCCGUAAGGUGAUGACGAUGUAGGAAGCCGGUGCGAAUCCGGCGCGGUCCC